CAGCCGCCGCGGUAAUACGGAGGGUGCAAGCGUUACUCGGAAUCACUGGGCGUAAAGCGCGCGCAGGCGGCCUUUUAAGUUGGAUGUGAAAGCCUAUGGCUCAACCAUAGAACUGCAUCCAAAACUAUCAGGCUAGAGUGUGGGAGAGGAAGAUGGAAUUAGUUGUGUAGGGGUAAAAUCCGUAGAGAUAACUAGGAAUACCAAAAGCGAAGGCAAUCUUCUGGAACAUUACUGACGCUGAGGCGCGAAAGCGUGGGGAGCAAACAGGAUUAGAUACCCUGGUAGUCCACGCCCUAAACGAUGAAUGUUAGUCGUCGGGUAGCUAGUCUAUUCGGUGAUGCAGCUAACGCAUUAAACAUUCCGCCUGGGGAGUACGGUCGCAAGAUUAAAACUCAAAGGAAUAGACGGGGACCCGCACAAGUGGUGGAGCAUGUGGUUUAAUUCGAAGAUACGCGAAGAACCUUACCUAGCCUUGACAUAUUUUAGAACACUUUAGAGAUAGAGUGGUGCCUUCGGGAGCUAAUAUACAGGUGCUGCACGGCUGUCGUCAGCUCGUGUCGUGAGAUGUUGGGUUAAGUCCCGCAACGAGCGCAACCCUCGUCACUAGUUACUAACGGUUCGGCCGAGGACUCUAGUGAGACUGCCUUCGUAAGGAGGAGGAAGGUGAGGACGACGUCAAGUCAUCAUGGCCCUUACGGCUAGGGCAACCACCGUGCUACAAUGGCCAGGACAAUGAGAAGCGAUACCGCGAGGUGGAGCAAAU
rnacentral:rRNA from 1 species